UCCCCGAUAGCUCAGCGGUAGAGCGGGUGGCUGUUAACCACUAGGUCGUAAGUUCGAAUCUUACUCGGGGAG
rnacentral:tRNA from 1 species